AUGCAUGUUUUGGCCCUGGGCUUUUCUUGGCCUCUCUUUUUCUAUAGAGUGGACCAGUACAAACAUGCUAGAUUAACAUAACAUUUGGGAGUUAACAGGGCCACCGGUCUAUAAAGGUCAGGCUGAGUUGGUAGUAUAAUACUCCCACAUUC
ensembl:snoRNA